rnacentral:rRNA from 1 species
GAUGAACGCUGGCGGCGUGCCUAAUACAUGCAAGUCGAGCGAACGGACGAGAAGCUUGCUUUUCUGAUGUUAGCGGCGGACGGGUGAGUAACACGUGGAUAACCUACCUAUAAGACUGGGAUAACUUCGGGAAACCGGAGCUAAUACCGGAUAAUAUUUUGAACCGCAUGGUUCAAAAGUGAAAGACGGUCUUGCUGUCACUUAUAGAUGGAUCCGCGCUGCAUUAGCUAGUUGGUAAGGUAACGGCUUACCAAGGCAACGAUGCAUAGCCGACCUGGGAGGGUGAUCGGCCACACUGGAACUGAGACACGGUCCAGACUCCUACGGGAGGCAGCAGUAGGGAAUCUUCCGCAAUAGGCGAAAGCCUGACGGAGCAACGCCGCGUGAGUGAUGAAGGUCUUCGGAUCGUAAAACUCUGUUAUUAGGGAAGAACAUAUGUGUAAGUAACUGUGCACAUCUUGACGGUACCUAAUCAGAAAGCCACGGCUAACUACGUG